GGAAGGGAAACACUCCCGGUGGAGUGGCCGGACUUCAAACCCGGAGUGGGUCGCUGACGAUCCUGUGUGGGUUCGACUCCCACUCUCUUCCGCCA
rnacentral:tRNA from 4 species